UAUGAACCUGAGAGUUUGAUCCUGGCUCAGAGCGAACGCUGGCGGAAUGCUUAACACAUGCAAGUCGCACGGGGGCUUCGGCUCGAGUGGCGGACGGGUGAGUAACGCGUAGGAACGUGUCUUGGGGUGGGGGAUAACGCUGGGAAACUGGCGCUAAUACCGCAUAUGGGCUGAGGCCCAAAGCCUUCGGGUGCCUUGAGAGCGGCCUGCGUCCGAUUAGCUAGUUGGUGGGGUAAAGGCUUACCAAGGCGACGAUCGGUAGCUGGUCUGAGAGGACGAUCAGCCACACUGGGACUGAGACACGGCCCAGACUCCUACGGGAGGCAGCAGUGGGGAAUAUUGGACAAUGGGCGGAAGCCUGAUCCAGCAAUUCCGCGUGGGUGAAGAAGGUCUUCGGAUUGUAAAGCCCUUUCGGCGGGGACGAUGAUGACGGUACCCGCAGAAG
rnacentral:rRNA from 1 species